UUUAGACUAAACAGCACAAACUAGCCCCCCGUUAGACUAAAAGAUACUCGACUGGGGUACAGCCCUAUCGAGCAAGGAUACAACCUAUACUAAUGGACCAGGACUAACACCCAUAGCCAGUAGGCCUUAAAGCCGCCCCCAGCAAAUAAAGCGUCACAGCACAACACUACAAAUACAAAUAGUCCCGCCAAUCCCUUAGCAAACGACUGAGCCACACUAUGUCAAUAGCAGCACUAAUGCUAAAACUAGUAACAAGAAGACUUCUCUGUACACCCCCGUGCCCCAGUAAUAGAAGACCUACUGGAGACUAACAGACUAAACAGGACAUCAAACUGUCACACCAACACUGGAGUGUUUAAAAGAAGGUUAAAAGCCCCAUAAGGAACUCAGCAAACCUCCUGUCCCAACUGUUUACCAAAAACACAGCCUUUAGCCAAACAAGUAUUAAAGGUGCUGCCUGCCCAGUGAAGCAUUUCAACGGCCGCGGUAUCCUAACCGUGCAAAGGUAGCGUAAUCACUUGUCUUUUAAAUAAAGACUUGUAUGAACGGCUAAAUGAGGACAACCCUGUCUCUUGUGGCUGACCAGUGAAACUGAUCUUUAAGUACAAAAGCUUAAAUAAACACAUAAGACGAGAAGACCCGUGGAGCUUUAAACCAACACUUAUUACACCAAUAGUGCUAGUUUUGAGUUGGGGCGACUUCGGAACACAGCUAAACUUCCGAGCACAGAACUAACUACUCUCUCCUAGACUGACAAGUCAAAGAAUGCCGACCCAGUCACACUGAACAACGAACCAAGUUACCCCAGGAAUAACAGCGCCAUCUUCUUCAAGAGUUCCUAUCGACAAGAAGGUUUACGACCUCGAUGUUGGAUCAGGACACCCAAAUGGUGCAACAGCUAUUAAAGGUUCGUUUGUU
rnacentral:rRNA from 1 species